CUUCUCAAAUUGGCCAUUAACACCUAUAAAAGGAGGGUCUCUGUAACCCUAAUUCAUUCAUUGAUUUCUCAUCUCCUCAGAUUCCUCAAAAAAAACCUCUCAAGAUGCAGAUCUUUGUCAAAACCCUCACCGGAAAGACUAUCACCCUUGAGGUGGAAAGCUCAGACACCAUUGACAACGUUAAAGCCAAGAUCCAGGACAAGGAAGGUAUUCCCCCGGACCAGCAGAGGCUGAUCUUUGCAGGCAAGCAACUUGAAGACGGCCGUACUCUAGCCGAUUACAAUAUUCAGAAGGAGUCAACUCUCCACUUGGUGCUCCGUCUUCGUGGUGGGAUGCAGAUCUUUGUCAAAACCCUCACUGGAAAGACAAUCACCCUCGAGGUGGAAAGCUCAGACACCAUUGACAAUGUUAAGGCUAAGAUCCAGGACAAGGAAGGCAUCCCCCCAGACCAGCAAAGGCUGAUCUUUGCCGGCAAGCAACUUGAAGACGGCCGGACCCUCGCUGAUUACAACAUUCAAAAAGAGUCCACUCUUCACUUGGUGCUCCGUCUUCGUGGUGGAAUGCAAAUUUUCGUGAAGACUUUGACAGGAAAGACCAUCACCCUUGAGGUUGAAAGCUCCGACACCAUUGACAAUGUUAAGGCUAAGAUCCAGGACAAGGAAGGCAUUCCCCCAGACCAGCAAAGGCUGAUCUUUGCCGGCAAGCAGCUUGAGGAUGGCCGGACCCUUGCUGAUUACAACAUCCAGAAGGAGUCAACCCUUCACUUGGUCCUUCGUCUUCGCGGUGGGAUGCAAAUCUUUGUGAAGACCUUGACUGGCAAGACUAUUACCCUUGAGGUGGAAAGUUCUGACACCAUUGACAAUGUUAAGGCCAAAAUUCAGGACAAAGAAGGUAUUCCACCAGACCAGCAGAGGUUGAUCUUUGCCGGAAAGCAGCUUGAGGAUGGCCGUACCCUUGCUGAUUACAACAUCCAGAAGGAGUCCACCCUUCACUUGGUCCUUCGUCUUCGCGGUGGGAUGCAAAUCUUCGUGAAGACCUUGACUGGCAAGACUAUUACCCUUGAGGUGGAAAGCUCCGACACCAUUGACAACGUUAAGGCAAAGAUUCAGGACAAAGAGGGUAUCCCACCAGAUCAGCAAAGGUUGAUUUUUGCUGGCAAGCAGUUGGAAGAUGGAAGGACAUUAGCCGAUUACAAUAUUCAGAAGGAAUCGACCCUUCAUCUUGUGUUGAGACUCAGGGGAGGUAUGCAGAUUUUUGUGAAGACCUUGACUGGGAAAACCAUCACUUUGGAGGUGGAGAGCUCUGAUACUAUUGACAACGUUAAGGCCAAGAUUCAGGACAAGGAGGGAAUCCCACCGGACCAGCAGAGGCUGAUCUUUGCAGGGAAGCAGCUCGAAGAUGGUAGGACUUUGGCGGACUACAACAUCNAGUUCUGAUACCAUUGACAAUGUGAAGGCUAAGAUUCAGGACAAGGAGGGAAUCCCACCGGACCAGCAGAGGCUGAUCUUUGCAGGGAAGCAGCUUGAAGAUGGAAGGACUCUGGCGGACUACAACAUCCAAAAAGAGUCUACUCUGCACCUUGUCCUCCGUCUCCGUGGAAAAAAUUGCGAUCUCGAUGUGGACGUCAGCGACACCAUUGACAAUGUAAAGGCUAAGAUCCAGGAAAAGGAAGGCAUUCCCCCAGACAAGCAGAGGUUGAUCUUUGAAGGCAAGCAGCUUGAAGAUGGUCAUCCCCUCUUUGGGUACAACAUCAAAAACGGGUCCACUCUCACCUUGGUGCUCCCUCUUCAUGGUGGAAUGCAGAUUUCCGUGAAGACUUUGACUGGAAAGACGAUCACCCUUGAAGUGGAAAGUUCAGACACCAUUGACAACGUUAAGGCUAAGAUCCAGGACAAGGAGGGCAUCCCUCCAGACCAGCAGAGACUGAUCUUUGCCGGAAAACAGCUUGAAGAUGGCCGUACUCUCGCUGAUUACAAUAUCCAGAAGGAGUCCACUCUUCACUUGGUGCUCCGUCUUCGCGGUGGGAUGCAGAUAUUUGUUAAAACCCUCACUGGAAAGACAAUUACCCUUGAGGUUGAAAGCUCCGACACCAUUGACAACGUUAAAGCCAAGAUCCAGGACAAGGAAGGCAUUCCCCCAGACCAGCAAAGGUUGAUCUUUGCUGGAAAGCAGCUUGAGGAUGGCCGGACCCUUGCUGAUUACAAUAUCCAGAAGGAGUCAACUCUUCACUUGGUCCUCCGUCUCCGUGGUGGAAUGCAGAUCUUUGUCAAAACCUUGACUGGCAAGACUAUUACACUUGAGGUUGAGAGCUCCGACACAAUCGACAAUGUUAAGGCCAAGAUUCAGGACAAAGAGGGUAUCCCACCAGACCAGCAGAGGUUGAUCUUUGCCGGAAAGCAGCUUGAGGACGGUCGUACCCUUGCUGAUUACAACAUCCAGAAGGAAUCCACCCUUCACUUGGUCCUCCGUCUUCGCGGUGGGAUGCAAAUCUUUGUCAAAACCUUGACUGGCAAGACUAUUACUCUCGAGGUGGAAAGCUCUGACACCAUUGACAAUGUUAAGGCCAAGAUUCAGGACAAAGAGGGCAUCCCUCCAGACCAGCAAAGGUUGAUUUUUGCUGGUAAGCAGUUGGAAGAUGGAAGGACACUGGCCGAUUACAAUAUUCAGAAGGAAUCGACCCUUCAUCUUGUGUUGAGGCUCAGGGGAGGUAUGCAGAUUUUUGUGAAGACCUUGACUGGGAAAACCAUCACUUUGGAGGUGGAGAGUUCUGAUACUAUUGACAACGUUAAGGCAAAGAUUCAGGACAAGGAGGGAAUCCCACCAGAUCAGCAGAGGCUGAUCUUUGCAGGGAAGCAGCUCGAAGAUGGUAGGACUUUGGCUGACUACAACAUCCAAAAGGAGUCUACUUUGCACCUUGUCCUCCGUCUCCGUGGUGGUUUUUAGAGGGGUGUGUUGUCAAUGGUAGUGCCUGUGUCUUUGGUCAGUUUGCAGCAGUGUUUUGUUCAUGAACUAGUUUGUUUCCAUUUGUGAUCUUGUGAUGUUUCCCAACAGAUCAUAAACUUUCAUGUUUCUCUUUUAGUGAAUAAUAAUGUCAACAUUUUGAUGUUAAAAA